AACUGCGGCAUAGUGGUUUUUGUGGUAGACUACGACUCUGGAGAACAGGGUUCAAUUCCCCACUUGGUCA